UACGUAGGUGGCAAGCGUUGUCCGGAAUUAUUGGGCGUAAAGCGCGCGCAGGCGGUUUCUUAAGUCUGAUGUGAAAGCCCACGGCGCAACCGUGGAGGGUCAUUGGAAACUGGGGAACUUGAGUGCAGAAGAGGAGAGCGGAAUUCCACGUGUAGCGGUGAAAUGCGUAGAGAUGUGGAGGAACACCAGUGGCGAAGGCGGCUCUCUGGUCUGUAACUGACGCUGAGGCGCGAAAGCGUGGGGAGCAAACAGG
rnacentral:rRNA from 1 species